GCAUCAGCAACAGGAGCAACAGCAAAACGAAAAUAUUCCAACAACCCACAGUACCAGCCAUCAAUGUUAAUUCGCCAAAUCAGAUGCCAGCUGACCCACGCUCCUCACGCCCAGUUGUGUAUUGAAAAAUCACGGGCCCAAAAUUGAACAGAUUUUGUCCAUUUUGUGGUUGUGUGCUUACAGCAUCAGCCACAAUAUAGCAUCGGGAACAAUUGAAGCCACCCAGUUGGUCUUUUGCCGGGCUUUCCCAUUGAAGGAUUGCUUAGUAUGCAAGGCAGCGAAAUUUUAACGUAAAACGCAAAAGCACUGCCAAAUUUGACUAGAAUGGUAAGCGAUGUUGGCUGGUUGGUCGGUUGGUUGGUUUGGUUGGCUGGUUGGUUUGGCUUCGUUGUUCUGAUGGCCAGAGGGGCUGGAACAGAAGCCGGAGCCGGAGACGGAGUAAUGACAGUCAACUGUCAAAACUUCAAAUGCAUGAGCCGCAUUAUGAAUAGGGGCAGGAGAAUCUGGUUAUCCGGCGGGGUUAUUUCGGGAAGGCAAUUCCGCGGAAAUCGGCGAAAAGCGCCCUCCCCACUAAAGCUAAUGGAAAGUACUUUAAUCUUUCUGGAAAAUCAGCAACGCUUAUGGUGUAAUAACUUGACUGACCCGUCAUUUUAAAUGGCUGGCAGCUGUCAUAAAAUGUUGUUGCGUUAAUGCUCACUUUUUGCAAUUAAAUAAAGAUGUCGUAAAACCGUUUCGGCUCCUUACGACUCAGCCAUGAUUCGAAAGGUGUCAGAAAUGUGCGUUGAAUAUUGUGUAAUUAGAAUUUUAUUCAACAAUCAACAACAGGAAGGACGGUGCGGAAGACGCAAAGUUGGUAAGACGAAAAGUUGUCAGAAAUCGAUUACGAACGUGACGCAGUAAAAAAUCAAAUAAAGUUAUUAAAAUAUUUCGUAAAAACUGUCAUUC